UUGACGGAGAGUUUGAUCCUGGCUCAGGACGAACGCUGGCGGCGUGCUUAACACAUGCAAGUCGAACGCUGAAGCUUGGUGCUUGCACUGGGUGGAUGAGUGGCGAACGGGUGAGUAAUACGUGAGUAACCUGCCCUUGACUCUGGGAUAAGCCUGGGAAACUGGGUCUAAUACUGGAUACGACGGCGCAUCGCAUGGUGUGUUGUGGAAAGGGUUUUACUGGUUUUGGAUGGGCUCACGGCCUAUC
rnacentral:rRNA from 1 species